AAGUCGUAACAAGGUUUCCGUAGGUGAACCUGCGGAAGGAUCAUUAAAGAGUAAGGGUGCUCAGCGCCCGACCUCCAACCCUUUGUUGUUAAAACUACCUUGUUGCUUUGGCGGGACCGCUCGGUCUCGAGCCGCUGGGGAUUCGUCCCAGGCGAGCGCCCGCCAGAGUUAACCAAAACCUCAUUCGUUUAUUUCAAUCCGGUUACGGUCUGAGUUAAAAAUUUUGAAUAAAUCAAAA
rnacentral:misc_RNA from 1 species